rnacentral:rRNA from 1 species
AAGGGUUUGAUCCUGGCUCAGAUUGAACGCUGGCGGCAGGCCUAACACAUGCAAGUCGAGCGGAUGAAGGGAGCUUGCUCCUGGAUUCAGCGGCGGACGGGUGAGUAAUGCCUAGGAAUCUGCCUGGUAGUGGGGGAUAACGUCCGGAAACGGGCGCUAAUACCGCAUACGUCCUGAGGGAGAAAGUGGGGGAUCUUCGGACCUCACGCUAUCAGAUGAGCCUAGGUCGGAUUAGCUAGUUGGUGGGGUAAAGGCCUACCAAGGCGACGAUCCGUAACUGGUCUGAGAGGAUGAUCAGUCACACUGGAACUGAGACACGGUCCAGACUCCUACGGGAGGCAGCAGUGGGGAAUAUUGGACAAUGGGCGAAAGCCUGAUCCAGCCAUGCCGCGUGUGUGAAGAAGGUCUUCGGAUUGUAAAGCACUUUAAGUUGGGAGGAAGGGCAGUAAGUUAAUACCUUGCUGUUUUGACGUUACCAACAGAAUAAGCACCGGCUAACUUCGUGCCAGCAGCCGCGGUAAUACGAAGGGUGCAAGCGUUAAUCGGAAUUACUGGGCGUAAAGCGCGCGUAGGUGGUUCAGCAAGUUGGAUGUGAAAUCCCCGGGCUCAACCUGGGAACUGCAUCCAAAACUACUGAGCUAGAGUACGGUAGAGGGUGGUGGAAUUUCCUGUGUAGCGGUGAAAUGCGUAGAUAUAGGAAGGAACACCAGUGGCGAAGGCGACCGCCUGGACUGAUACUGACACUGAGGUGCGAAAGCGUGGGGAGCAAACAGGAUUAGAUACCCUGGUAGUCCACGCCGUAAACGAUGUCGACUAGCCGUUGGGAUCCUUGAGAUCUUAGUGGCGCAGCUAACGCGAUAAGUCGACCGCCUGGGGAGUACGGCCGCAAGGUUAAAACUUAAAGGAAUUGACGGC